UUGAAAUCCAAUGAAAUCUACCAAAAACUCAGAAGCUAUUUCUUUGAAGUCUUAUCUAUAGAUCAAAACCCAUCUUUCAGAUUUCAUACUCAAUCUUCACUAACCCAGAAUUCAUUUGAAGCCCUAGUCCCUAGAUAUGUGAUUUUCCCCUUCAUAAACUCUAGCAAAAUUAACUAUUUUCUCUAUUCUCUACAGUUGAAAUUUAUCCAAUCCAAUGAGAUGAGUUUAUCAAGUACAGGUGCAAUGUAUAAAAUCCCUAAUUCUUUUUCCUUACCCUAAUUCGUUUUUUCUCUAUGGAUUUUCCUCCUUAUAUGUCAGUUAUGAUGAAGAAGAACCUCGAUGAAAAGAUGAGACAAAAAAGACCCAUCACUAAUCGGUUCCGUAUGAAACUGAUAACCCGGUUAGCUUCUGUAUGUCUAUGCAUCAGCAUCUCUAGAGAUGGAAACGAAAAUGGAAAGAAAAUUUUUCUUGAGGAUGUGAAAUGAUUGUCCAUUCAUAGUGAAGAUGGGGUAUACCACCAAAACCUCCCCCCUGGCAGAUUUGAAGCCCCUGAGCCUUCCCCUCUUGUCUACACGGCUCACAUUCAUUGCAACAUCUCUUUCUGUUCUUUUGUAUCCUUCAACUCUCAACUGUUGUCCUGUUGUAGUUGGGUGCAAAUGCAGCUUUAAACUGCAGUUAGUAAGGGAUCAAAGUUGAAGAAUCCAGUAGAGUACAUUUGAUUAUUGGAUACCCAUAAUCUUGAAGAUGCAAUUGUGCAAAAUUGAUUUUUCGCAUUUUACUUUAUCUUUAGAUAUAUUGUUGACAAUGUCACACAACUCUCUAGUUGCCAAACUUUUCCAUGGCUUACAGAGUUUAAGCCCAAAGUGAGCAAAAGCACCACUAAGGCGUAGAAAACAAACGCAGCUAAACUUUUUAUGCUUAUUGGACUUUCUUUGUUUCUUCUUGUACGUAUAGAUGAGAAUCAUGAGGUACAUGGCGACAUAGACGAAUAAAAUUUUGGUAUUGCUAAUUUAAUACUUCAGUUUUGUAGUGGAUAGUCUGUCAUAUCGCAGUUUCAAUUUUCUUGACUUUCGUCAGUACUCGUGAAAUUUUGACUUCAGUGAGGGCUUAAGUUAUUUUUUUGCAGUAAAAUCUUGUGGGUUGUUUUAUAUUCCUUUUUAUGUUUUCCAAAUGAGCGCAGGGAUGUUGGUCUUAUGUCUUCACAAAUCCUCUAAAAUAAUGGGACAACAGCCAACAUAUAGAAGAGCAAUUCUGACUCUUCCAGACAAUAAACACAAGGAGAAGAUUUUGGUGGCUUAUAUAUUUACCUUGUUUAACCUGUGUAUGAUGUGUUGUACAUUAAAAUGAUCUAGUUGGCUAAGAUUCUGUAGCUUUUCUUUACCUUGUUAACCUGUGUAUAAUGUGUUGUACAAUAAAAUGAUCUAAUGAUGUCCAUGCUUUUGCAUACAAAGGAAACGAAGAUGUAUGUAUUAUUGGUGAUGCACGUACACCAAUGGGUGGAUUUUUUGGUAGCGUAUUAUCAUUGUCAGACACUAAACUCGGAUCUAUAACUAUUAGGUGCUCCAGUCAGCAAUAACCUUGAAGUAUGUUUUAGGCGCUGCAAUCUGUGCUUCCGAUGCUAAGGAUCUGGUGCUAUUCCUUGAAGUUUCACAGGGCAACCUGGAGCUGUGCAAUUCAAUUCGAAAGUUGCGAAUAAUAGGGCAACCUGAAUUUGGAAAAGUACCAUGGCUACUGCCUGUACCUGCAACAUCUACGACAACAACUACGGCAAGCAUGUUCGUUGAUGCAGCAAUUACUGAUUGGCUACAUAGUUACUUUGCACGUAAGAUGCGGGUAGGCAAUACAUUUGGUUCUUUACAGUCUUACUGUGGGAAAAAUUUCCUUGAGACAUGUUGUGAUGACAGAAGAUGUCCUGAAUAAGUUGGAUCAAGAUUAAUGUGGUGUUAUGAUUGGCUCUGUGAUGGGUGGCAUGAAGGUACACAAUUCGGAAGUGCGUGGUCUAAGUCCCUCAUCAGGCAGUUUAUCAUUUUGCUGGUUAGAAAUUGUCUUUUAGAAACCUUGUUCUUGUUAGAACGUGUAGUACUUCUCUUUAAGUAACCUUGAGCUUAUUAAUCAGGACUUGUAUUGGUGUCAAUUCUGGAAUUGAAUUUUUUUUUUUGUAUGAUUUUGAACAAGAUUUAUGGAUACAAUUCAAUGUGGGAUGGUCAUUUUGUA